CUAAUAGGCACAAAAAGUUGUCUAGCACCUUUUGAAUUGUGGGUCAGUUUUAGCAAGUCAAGCAACUGUCAUAAAGGAAAAUUCAAUUAAGCAGAAUGAGAGCACGUCGACACGAUCCAUGAACAAAACUAAUUUUUAUAGUACAAAACCUCCCUAAUGCGAGGAGUAAAAUUUGGGUCUAUAUUCUAAAAUUUUUAGUGAUGCUAUCAAAAAUCGUACUUGGUAGAUUUUCGAGCUUGACGACUGAGAAAGGGUACGAAUAGAGCUUUCUUGUACCUGAAACAAAGGCAACGAGAUGUGUUCUCGUCGCCGCUUCGAUGGUUAAGUCAGAUAGGGAAUUUAUAUGAGAACGUCUACUGAAAUUGUAUUUAAAAACGUAAUUUAGCCAUGAACUUUGGUCAUGUAUUUAUAGAUGUUAGUGGUAGAGUUGUAAAAGAAUUCAACUGUCUCCAGCCCUUAUCAUGUAGAGUGUUUGUGUUAUAAUGAAAGUGUUUUGUUUGAGUUUGAGUCAAACUCUGAUAGCAUAAAGAGUUGUAGCUAAAGUGAGAUUGACAUUUCAGGAGCCCGCUCUCAUAAAGCUCGACCUAAGCUUGUAGCCUGACCUCAAUCCUUCUAACAUAGGUCCAUCCUCAACAUUAAGCCUGACAUUGUGCUUGAGUAAAUGUGUGGGGGGAAGAUCGAGCUAUAUAGUUCGAGAUAGGAUGCUUUAAACCCAAGCUCAAGCUUGCUUAUGCGAGCCUGAUGGUUGUGGCCCAAGGGAGAGAGUAACGAGCUCGACUAUAUAAACUCGAGGAUGUUCAAGCCAUAGGAGGAAUGCUUGAGGUUACUAUGAGCUCGAGCAUGAGGUCAUGGAUGGUCGGGUCAUACAAAAAUUGUACACAUCAUGGGCCCAUGUGCAUCAAUUUCAAGAGCUCAUGCGCAAUGUGGGAGUUUCUGGAAUGAGAUGCACAAGUACAUUGGGUUCAAAUAUAGGCAUGCUCAUGUCCAGUUGAUAGGCCCCCGAGCAUAUAGACCUAGGAUAGCAAUUUUUGAUCAUUUCAAAAAAUUUGAAAGAGAUGAGCUUGAUUUCAAUAUUAAGAUAUUUGAAUGUGCUCGACCCCUACCUUGUUAAAAUUGAAGGGAAGGGGCUCGACCUCGACCUUAUUAAAAUUUUGAAAGGAAGUUGUACGCAGGACCUUGUCUAAGAAUUUAGAAGGAAUGAGCUCGACCUCGAGCUCAUUAAAAUAUUUUGAAAGGAAGGUUUAGACCUUGACCUUGUUAAAAAUUUUUGGAAGAAGGAGCUCGAAUGAGAGCUCAUUAAAAAAUUCUAGAAAGGAAAGGUUUGAUCCCGAAACUCAUUAAAAAUUUUGGAAGUAGGGAGCUCGACCUUUGUAAAUGAUUUUAGCAUGAAUGAGCUCAACCUCGAGCUUUACCAAAAUUUGAAAUGAAAGAGCUUGUUCUGGAGCUUUGUCAAGAUUUGUAAUGAAAGAGCUUGACUUGGAGCUUUGUCAAAAACUUGAAAUAAAGAGUUUGACCACGAGCUCUGCCAACUUGAUGUGAAAGAGCUUGAUCUCGAGCUUUGCCAAUAUCAAAUGAAAGAGCUCGAGCUCUUUGGCUGGGACUUUGGCAAUGUAUUGAGCUCAAGGUUAGGCCCGAGCCCAAUGUUGAAUAAUAUCUCGAGCUCUGAGAUCGAGAUUUUGGCAAUGUAUUGAGCUCUAGGUUAGGCCCCUAGAGCCUAAUGUUGAGAAUAUCCCGAGCUCUGAGGCUGGGACUUUGGCAAUGUAUUGAGCUCUAGGAUAGGCCCCCAAGACCAAUGUUGAACAAUCCCCCGAGCUCUGAGGUUGGGCUUUUAACAAUGUAUUGAGCUCAAGAAUAUAUGCCUCUGAGCCUAAUGUUGAACAAUUAUCCUCAUUGGAAUUUUUGAGAACUUAGCCUAUCAAGCUCGGGAUGAAAAAUAACGUCGGGAUUUUUUACUUAUUGAAUUUUUUUAAAUGUAUGCCUAGGGCGAUGGCCAGGCAUGGGGUCUACAUGUACGCUUUAGCUGCAUGCUUGGGACACGACUUUACGCUAAAGUGUUAAGAGUUUAUUUAGCUGCAUGCUUGGGAAACGACCCUAUGCUAAAUGUAUGCUUUAGCUGCGUGCUUGGGGUACGUCCUUACGCUAAAGUGUUAGAGUUUAUUUAGCUACAUGCUCGAGGCACGACCUUACGCUAAAUGUAUGCUUCAACUGCGUGCUCGAGGCACGGCCUUACACUAAAGUGUUAGAGUUUAUUUAGCUAAAUGCUCAGAGCACGACUUUAUGCUAAAUGUAUGCUUUAGCUGCGUGCUCAGGGCACGACCUUACGCUAAAUGUUUAUUUUCAAGAGAAAGCAUUAGCAAAAAAGCAAAUUCCUAUAUCAUUAAAGAGUAAGUGCUUGAAGGCAUUUUAUCCCAAGUUUUUGGAAACUAUGAACCAUUCAUAAAAGGAUGAAAGAGGGCGCGUAGGCCCAAAAAGUAAACUUCCUAAGGGGAACACAAAUCCGAACUACCAAACUAAACUUAUGAGUGCGCAGGACUGUAAAGAAAACUAAGGGCAAAAGCUAGCCUAAAUACCUAGGGGCAGAGACUGCUAUUCACAAUAGAGCUUUAGGUUGUCAUCGUUCCAAGGGUAACCUGCCUUCCAGGCUUGAGCUCGACCUCUAAAAAUUCUUCCACAUAUACCAUUCUCCCACAACGUUCAAGCUCGAGCUCGAGCUUUGAAACCUGCAUGCCAUCGAUUUUGAUUUCCCGAAUGCUGGAGACAUAGCACUGUCUAGCCACAUUUUAGUUUCCUCGAACUACUCCUACUCCAUUACUUAUUGGAAAUUUCAUGGUCAAGUGGAAAGUUGAGACAAUAGCCUUUAUCCCAUUAAGCAGUGGCCUUCCAAGUAUGGCAUUGUAGAUCAUUGGAGCUCAAACUACAUAGAAAGUUGUGACUCGUGCUACCUGCUUUCAUUCUGAUCCUAAAGUCAGAGGUAAUUGAGCAAAUGCUUUCCGAUGUGACGACUCCACCGCCGAACCCUUGAAGGAGGUUCUAACCUGUUUGAGUUGUUUGGUUAAUAUAUCCAUCUGAAGGAAUGCCUCAUGGGACAAUAGAUUGGGAACACUUCCAUUAAUCUACAAGGACUCUCUUUACUUCAAAGCUAGUGAUGAUUGCUGUUAUGACCAAGGUAUCGUCAUGAGGAAAUGACACUCCUUCUGAGUCUCAUGGUCCGAAAGUUAUGUCUUCCGUUCUAUCAAGGCCCAUAAUUGAAAUUGCUGGAUACGACAUCAGUAUAGUUUGAGUCCAUUACUCGAAUAAUCUCCUGGUGUUGUACCUCCAAUGAUGAUAUUAAUUGUACCAGCUGUUGGUUGUUGAUUUUCCGGAUCUCCGACAGCCUUGUCCUUAUUUUGAUUAUUCCAUGGAUACUUUUCGUGUCUUACAUAGGCACCCAAAAAUCCCCUCUUGAUGAGAUCUUCAAUUUCUCGCUUUAGAGCAAAGCAACCCUUAGUCGUGUGCCUGUAGUCUCGAUAAAACUCAUAAUACUUGUUCUUGUCGUAGGACUCAGAAGGUGACUUUAUCCUUGACGGCUAUUUGAGCUCUUUCAUAUCUUUGAUCUCGAUCAAAAUGUUAGACCUUGUUGUAUUCAUAAAAAUUGCUGAAGGGUUAUCAUGACUUGUCUUACCACGAGGAUGAUAAGCGCGACAUCUUUCCUUAGGAACAUAGUCUUUUCCAUGUUGAUGUACUUCUCAGCUCGGGUAAGUAGGUCGGUUACUGACGUUGGAGGGGUGUUUGAUAGAGACAUCUUGAACGUUUCAAACCUUAUAACAUGUGUUAAAGCUGAGACUGCAGUUAUGAUAUGAAGGUCUGGGAUCUGAAGUCUUUCCUUGUUAAACCUUGUCAUGAAAUUGCGAAGUGUCUCAUUCUGCCUUUGGCGAAGCUGCAUGAGGGAAGUUGCUGUUUUUCAGAUGAGUUUACUACUGGCGAAGAAGGCAGAGAACUAGUCGACUAGGUCCGAGAAUGAGCCUAUAGAAUUAAGCUCUAAGGUUGAGAACCAAUCCUUGGCAACGUUGGUCAAUGUUUGAGGAAAGGCCUUACAUAUCACCUGGUCUGGGACAACUUGCAGGUUCAUGAUAUCGGUAUAGAUAUUGAGAUGGUUGAUAGGGUUGGUAGUUGUAUCAUAUUAUUUUAUAUGGGGUUAUUUGAAUCUGUUCGGUAAGGGGACUGAUAAUAUCUCAGGAGUGAACGGUGUGUUAGGGGUAAAGCUUGUUGCCCACUUAGCUUUCUGCAUUAGGCCUGCCGUGAUUCCCUCUUGAAUAAUCUUGGUAAGUUUACCAGACUAUAUCGUUACUUUCUCCGAGGCCGAGGCCAUAUGGGAUACACCCGAGGUUCCAACCCCACCAUCGUCAAGAAUGGGCUAUGGGGCCUGAGCUCGAGCAUUUGUUAUAAAACCACCUUCAGGAGUCGGUGUAUGUAAUCGGUGAGAAUUCCUCUAGCUUAACAACUGGUUUAAUGUAGCAACUUGUUGGCGGAGCUCUUCGAAUGCUCUGGUGGUAACAAAGGCAUGCUGAGGUACUGGCAUCUCUGAUGAUUCUUUCUGAGGGAUAGGAUGAUUUUCAAGGGGAAGAGGAUGGUCCAGGAUGGAUGAGCUUUUGGGAGAAGACCUGAUCGUGUGUUUGCCAUGACUUUUGGCAGUGGUUCCCACAGAUGACUCCACUAAUGCUACCAAAAAUCGUACAUGAUAGAUCUCCCAAGCUUGAAGAUUGAGAAAGGGCACGAACAGAGCCUUCCUGUACUUGAAACAAAGGCAACACGGUGUGUUCUUAUCACCCCUCCGAUUGUUAAGUCAGACAGAGAAUUUAUAUGAGAACCUAUACUGAUGUUGUAUAUAAAAAUGUACCUUAGCCAUGAGCUUUGGUCAUGUAUUUAUAGAUAUUAGUGGUAGAGUUGUAAAAGGAUUCAACUGCCUGUAACCUUAUCCUUAUAAUGUAGAGUGUUUGUGUGAUAAUGAAAGUGUUUUGUUUGAGUUUGAGUCAAACUGUGAUAGCAUAAAUAGUUGUAGCUAAAGUGGGAUUGACGUUUCUGGAGCUCGCUCUCAUGAAGCCCGAC
rnacentral:lncRNA from 1 species